rnacentral:rRNA from 1 species
CGCGUAGGCGGCUUGCCAAGUCAGGGGUGAAAUCUUUCGGCUUAACCGGAAAAUUGCUUUUGAUACUGGUGAGCUUGAGGGAGGUAGGGGCAGGUGGAACUUCCGGUGGAGCGGUGAAAUGCGUAGAUAUCGGAAGGAACGCCGGUGGCGAAAGCGACCUGCUGGACCUUUACUAACGCUGAGGCGCGAAAGCCAGGGGAGCAAACGGGAUUAGAUACCCCCGGUAGUCCUGGCCCUAAACGAUGGGUACUAGGUAGUGGACUUGACAUGGGUUCACUGCCGAAGCCAAAGUGCUAAGUACCCCGCCUGGGGAGUAUGGUCGCAAGGCUGAA